UACAGAGGUCUCAAGCGUUGUUCGGAUUCAUUGGGCGUAAAGGGUGCGUAGGCGGCGCGGUAAGUCGGGGUGUGAAAUCUCGGGGCUUAACUCCGAAACUGCAUUCGAUACUGCCGUGCUUGAGGACUGGAGAGGAGACUGGAAUUUACGGUGUAGCGGUGAAAUGCGUAGAUAUCGUAAGGAAGACCAGUGGCGAAGGCGGGUCUCUGGACAGUUCCUGACGCUGAGGCACGAAGGCCCAGGGGGAGCAAAACGGGG
rnacentral:rRNA from 1 species